GAUGAACGCUGGCGGCGUGCCUAAUACAUGCAAGUCGAGCGAACAGACGAGGAGCUUGCUCCUCUGACGUUAGCGGCGGACGGGUGAGUAACACGUGGAUAACCUACCUAUAAGACUGGGACAACUUCGGGAAACCGGAGCUAAUACCGGAUAAUAUAUUGAACCGCAUGGUUCAAUAGUGAAAGACGGUUUUGCUGUCACUUAUAGAUGGAUCCGCGCCGCAUUAGCUAGUUGGUAAGGUAACGGCUUACCAAGGCAACGAUGCGUAGCCGACCUGAGAGGGUGAUCGGCCACACUGGAACUGAGACACGGUCCAGACUCCUACGGGAGGCAGCAGUAGGGAAUCUUCCGCAAUGGGCGAAAGCCUGACGGAGCAACGCCGCGUGAGUGAUGAAGGUCUUCGGAUCGUAAAACUCUGUUAUUAGGGAAGAACAAAUGUGUAAGUAACUAUGCACGUCUUGACGGUACCUAAUCAGAAAGCCACGGCUAACUACGUG
rnacentral:rRNA from 1 species